AACGAACGCUGGCGGCAUGCCUAACACAUGCAAGUCGAACGAGACUUUCGGGUCUAGUGGCGCACGGGUGCGUAACGCGUGGGAAUCUGCCCUUGGGUUCGGAAUAACAGUUAGAAAUGACUGCUAAUACCGGAUAAUGUCUUCGGACCAAAGAUUUAUCGCCCAGGGAUGAGCCCGCGUAGGAUUAGCUAGUUGGUGAGGUAAAGGCUCACCAAGGCGACGAUCCUUAGCUGGUCUGAGAGGAUGAUCAGCCACACUGGGACUGAGACACGGCCUAGACUCCUACGGGAGGCAGCAGUGGGGGAAUAUUGGACAAUGGGCGAAAGCCUGAUCCAGCAAUGCCGCGUGAGUGAUGAAGGCCUUAGGGUUGUAAAGCUCUUUUACCCGGGAUGAUAAUGACAGUACCGGGAGAAUAAGCCCCGGCUAACUUCGUGCCAGCAGCCGCGGUAU
rnacentral:rRNA from 1 species